ensembl:ncRNA F13E6.10 ncRNA
GAACGGCGUAUUUGUUUGUGCACUACUUGUGGCAUUGUAUGUAACACCCAGUACAAACAUAAGUUCUAAAAGGAUCG